UGGGGGUUGACUUGACCUGAGUGCUUGACCGGCAUUUGUUUUCAAUAUAUCGUUGGAUAGUAGCCUAGGCAUUCAUGUCGUGAAUCUUGUGUACUUGGCACUAGAUUGACGACCACAGCCUAAAAAGUUGUUAGUGGGCUACACAUCCGUUAGUACAAUGGAUGUAAGGAAAUGUUAAUAUCCUUGCGUCCCGCACCCCAGUCUAACUCCAAAAACCCAUCAAACGAGAAUGCUCCCCAAACCACCUGUGUUGCGUGAACCCACCUGAUGUGUUUGUAGCAUGAUGAGUGAGAAAGCAGUCACCCACUGCCAUAAAAGGACAACUUGGCAGAAUGUGAAGGUGGACUCCAGUCACUUUGCAGAGACAUCUCAGGGUUGAACAAAGGAUCGAAGGACACAGGAUGCAUCUCAGCUCAACUUUGAGUGUCAUGGCAAAUGGUCUGAAUACUUACAUAUAUUACUUCAGAUUUAAGUUUCA